rnacentral:rRNA from 1 species
UACAGAGGGUGCAAACGUUGUUCGGAAUUACUGGGCGUAAAGCGCGUGUAGGCUGCUCCGCAAGUCGGAUGUGAAAGCCCUGGGCUCAACCUAGGAAGUGCAUUCGAAACUUCGGAGCUGGAGUCCUGGAGAGGAAGGCGGAAUUCUCGGUGUAGAGGUGAAAUUCGUAGAUAUCGAGAGGAACACCUGUGGCGAAGGCGGCCAUCUGGACGACAAUUGACGCUGAGACGCGAAAGCGUGGGUAGCAAACAGG